ACUUAGCUGUUAACAACGGGUAGCGAGACCUGGCACGUCGAGCAAGCAUUGAUUCUUAAGCGAGCGGCUCUUACCCUUGUGACAGUUACAACUCGAUCUCAGCUGAGGUCCGGAUGAACAAAACUCAUUGUAAUGAGAUGACCCAGCGGCGGCAGGGGCGAGGGACACUUGCCAGUGUCUGCCCCUGGUAAGAAGCUACGGCUCUGUACCAGGGGCAGGCACCCAACCUUCCGUCUCCCCGAUCGACUUGUGGCUGCUCGACCCCUGCACGGAUCCCGGACUCCCUCUGGCAACUGACUCUCAACCCCCCCCCCCCCCAAUCCUCCAGGAGCAAACGUCAACCGAAUAUCGUACCUGCCAGCCCUGCAAACGCCCCUCUGCCCUCGGAUGUAGCUCUUCCCAUCCGCGAGCGAACCGAAAGAAAUCACCCUUAGUUCUCGUGGAUCAUUUCUCUACAUUAUAUAUUGUGAAGAUUUCAUGGAAUCUGCUAUAAGUUUGUAUUCCAGCUAGUUUACUAUUCCAGGAAUAGUAAACUCACGGAAGCUAAAUCACAUCUUACUAUAUCAAUUUACUCCUCAUCAUGAAUAUGGUGCUUGUAUCAAGCAUCCAUUUAAAAGUUGUCACGUUCAUACUCUCUCAGUUAGCGAUAUUUCUUAAUGGCGUGGCACUCGACUACAUAUUGUUAUACCGUGUGUUAAUUUGAUGUAUUGGUGAUGUUUCUUGAUGUAACUUUUCCUCGUUGCUGUGAGCACUGUAUUGUAUUUAAAGUGCAAUAUGUUAUGCUGCUGUAUAUGAGGCAAAUGAGACUUGUUUCCUUCAUGGGUCAAUAAAUUUUAAUAAAUGAACGUUUAAACUUUA